rnacentral:rRNA from 1 species
GACGAACGCUGGCGGCGUGCUUAACACAUGCAAGUCGAGCGGUAAGGCCCUUUCGGGGGUACACGAGCGGCGAACGGGUGAGUAACACGUGGGUGACCUGCCCUCAGCUCUGGGAUAAGCCUGGGAAACCGGGUCUAAUACCGGAUAUGACUCCAUGACGCAUGUUGUGGGGUGGAAAGCCUUGUGCGGCGUGAGGAUGGGCCCGCGGCCUAUCAGCUUGUUGGUGGGGUGAUGGCCUACCAAGGCGACGACGGUAGCCGGCCUGAGAGGCGACCGGCCACACUGGGACUGAGACACGGCCCGAGACUCCUACGGGAGGCAGCAGUGGGGAAUCUUGCGCAAUGGGCGAAAGCCUGACGCAGCGACGCCG